UUGAAAUCCCUCCCCCAAAUCCCUCCAUCCAAAUGCACCCUGAGGGACUUUUGUCAAUAGCCCCUAUUAAUUUGAUGUUUAAGCGCAUUAUUAUAUUAAAAGAAUCUUAUAUUUGACAUAAUCUCCUUGUAUUUUUGAGUUGGCAUGGGCUUAUUCAUGUCAAUUGAUUGUGAGUAAAUUGCAGCAUUUGAGAAUCGUCAAGUGUCCGAGUAAAUUAUGGACAUUGGAAGUUAAUGAUGGAAGGGCAGAUAUUUUUUAGGGAAAAUUUGUUAGACGUCCCUUAUUUUGGACUUAUAUUGGUAAAGAUCAUAGUUGUUAGAUGAAUAUAUGUAUAGGUUUUUUGACUUAAAAAAAUAAUAUAAAUAAAAUAAAAUAAUUAGUGUAUAGACAUAAUCACCCCCAAUUAAUAAGAAAACAAAUCUCAUAUAUCUUCUCUUUCCAAUCUCACCUCUCUUUCCAAUCUCACGUUUCUCUCACCUUAUAUUUAAUCUCUCAUCUUUUUCUCUCAUUUGUGUCUCACACCUCUCUCCCUCUCUCGAGCUUCUCUGGGUUUUUUUUUUUCUUUUCUUUUUCUUUACAUUUUUGAUAAAGAAAUAUUAUAGAGAAGGAAAAAAUAAUAGGGAUUUUUUUGAAUUAUGAGAUGAUUUUUCGUGGAAGAAUUAAAGAGGACAACAAAAAUUCAGAAAUCCAAAAUCAUAGCCAAAAUUCACAUUGUGUCUCCCGUAUAUGAGAACCUUCCCAUCGUUUUUGUUGUUAGCAAUUUCCGUUUGCAGGUUUGUUUAACUUCGUUUGUUGUUUGAAAAAUUGCGUUUGAUGUUGAGAUUCGAUUGCUCUGGUUUACAAUUUGCAAGGUUGCUGUUUGCAUUUGGCCAAGUCAUAGUUCGCGGAGUGAUAGGCGUCGCUGUUCCCGGAUCAUAGGCGGUGGUGGGGUUGUGGUGGCGUUUUUAGAGUCUUAGUUUGUAAAAUAAAUUGUAUAUUUUUGUUAUGAAUAAAUUUAUUUGUUUGAGUUAAUAUUUGGA